rnacentral:rRNA from 1 species
AUGAACGUUGGCGGCGUGGAUUAGGCAUGCAAGUCGCACGGGUCCGGCUUCGGCCGGGCUAGUGGCGCAAGGGUGAGUAAGGCGACGGCAACCCACCCCACGGAUGGGUCUAGCCGCGGGAAACCGCGGGUAAUACCCAGCGACGCGCCAGGCCGGCAUCGGCGUGGCGCCAAAGGUCCGCCGCCGUGGGACGGGCCGUCGUGGUAUUAGGUAGUUGGCGGGGUAACGGCCCACCAAGCCGACGAUGCCUACCGGGCGUGCGAGCGUGGCCCGGCACACUGGGACUGAGACACUGCCCAGACUCCUACGGGAGGCUGCAGUCGAGAAUCUUCGGCAAUGGGCGCAAGCCUGACCGAGCGACGCCGCGUGGAGGACGAAGGCCUUCGGGUUGUAAACUCCUGUCGAGGGGAAGGAAGGGCCCGUAAGGGCCUUGACCGCUCCCUGGAGGAAGCACGGGCUAAGUUCGU